rnacentral:sRNA from 1 species
ACUUUUUUAGCUCAUCACAUGGCUUUUAGCAGAAGGCUUCAGUUCCUCACCAUGUUGGUCUCUCCAAAGGGUUGUUCAUGUUAUCUCUUCCUCUAGAGCAGCCAUGCAUGUCAUUUGCUGCUUAAAUCCAAAAUAGUUCUCUUUUUAAUUGGGUCUGAGGCUUCAGGACCCCAACUUCUGCCAGUGAGAGCACUAAAUGAAGUCUUCAUUGGGGAGAGUCUGUCAUCCAGGGCUUCCUACUAUGAGAUUUCAGUUGAUGAUGGUCCAUGGGAAAAACAGAAGAGUUCAGGGCUCAAUUUGUGUACUGGAACAGGAUCAAAGGCCUGGUCAUUCAAUAUUAACAGGGUUGCAACUCAGGCUGUAGAAGAUGUUUUAAAUAUUGCAAAACGACAAGGAAAUUUGAGUCUUCCAUUGAACAAAGAAUUGGUAGAGAAAGUAACAAAUGAAUAUAAUGAAUCACUGCUCUACAGUCCGGAAGAACCAAAAAUACUUUUCAGUAUUCGAGAACCAAUAGCAAAUAGAGUUUUCUCAAGCAGUCGUCAGCGUUGUUUCUCCUCAAAGGUUUGUGUUCGUUCUCGUUGUUGGGAUGCCUGUAUGGUUGUGGAUGGAGGAACUUCUUUUGAGUUUAAUGAUGGUGCAAUUGCUUCGAUGAUGAUCAAUAAAGAAGAUGAGCUUCGAACUGUGCUUCUUGAACAGUGAAGGAUUUCCUCAUGACAAAUUUUGAUUACUGGCGAGAAUAUUUUUACUUCAGAAACAGACUACCAGUCGUAAAGUGACAUUU